rnacentral:tRNA from 1 species
ACCUGUUUGGCUCAGUGGAUAGAGCAUCAGCCUGCGAACUGAAGGUCCCAGAUUCAAUUCUGGUCAAGGGGCA